rnacentral:lncRNA from 1 species
AAAAACUGAGUUUCCUAGUGAAGGUCAGGUUCCUACCCUAUCGGUUUGUGUGUGCUCCCUUACAGCUCUUGACAGUCCAUUAGAAAUCCAUGACUCGUUAAUGCAGUUCCUCUGCUUCUAGGGCUUUCUCAUAAGCUUGAAGGCUCAGCUACACCCUCUUUGCUAUGUUGCAAAAGUAAAAAUACAAAAAGAAAGCAAAACAAAAAGAAAGUUAGGGCAUUUUUACCUAAAAAUAGCACUUACUCUUCAUGAAGUGGCAGCCUGCCCCCGGCUCUCACAUCCAGUUCUUCUCCAGCAAGAUGUACCAUAACAAAGGGAGAGGCUGGUGGUCACAAGCCAGGACAUUGCAGGGCUCAUUAAUUACUUGGAAAAUGGUGCCUGGGCCAGAAUCCCAAACAAAGAAAGAAAAUAGCUCCUGUUCCCCCAUUGACAAGUUGAUGAGUGAGGUAAGAAUGAAAAUCAUUUGGGUAAGCAAAAGGGGGAAGAAAUUAAAUGCAAGCAGUCCUUUUGUUCAAGAAUAAGUGUACAAUUAAGACAUAUUCCUACCCCCGGGAGGGUUGAUUCUUAUCAGUUCAGACCAUGCAAGUCACUGUCUGCUCCUGGCUAUGAAAUGAAUUCCUUAUCUCUAAUAAAAGGAUUGGGAACACCAAUUUAGGAAAAGCGUGGAUGGUGUUGGAGCCUGGACCCAAG